CCUGCGCGGGGAGGAAGGAGGCGCACCUGCCUCAGGAACGGCGGGAGAAAGCGCGGUCUAGGGGAGGCCCCGGGCGACCGGGAGGAGGAUGGGCGGGGCCGGCCACUCGCCCGCCCCGAGCCGGACCCUAAGUCCCCGCGGGCUGAGCCCCCAGACACCCGUGGUCCCGCCCGCUCGCGGUAGGACCGCCGCUCUGCCUCCAGGCGCGGCCUGCCUCCCCGCGUCUCAGGUGCUUGCCCCGCUCCAGGCUCCCUUCCCGACCCCCAGAGGCUCCCAGGGCCUCACUCUCCUGCUGACGCCCCUUAAAAAGCCAUAGCCUGAGCCCUAAGGAACCAUGUCAUUCUCACGCCCACGCCAGUGGGUUCAGUUCUGGGCCCCGCGUUUGAUGGUUGCGGGACUUCUGGAAAGAGACGAGGAUUAUGAAGAAACGGGACAGUAAGCUGGAGAGAAAACAGUUCUUGCAGACCUUUAAAGGUCACACACACCUUCACCCGGCCUGCUGCCACCACAAUGACCACGGAGGAAACGGAAAAGCGGUUUGGUUUUCCUCCAGCCUUCCCAUCCCGGUGGCCUUCCUCCCGAAUUCCUUCGGCAUUCGACCUCUUUACACUGAACCUCUGAUCAUCCAAAUGAGAAGCAGGUAGGGUUCGACGCCUACAAAAAGCCAGGCACUGUGCUAGACACUUUCUGUUACCAACUCAUGUAAUCCUUACAACAAUCGGAGUAGGUAUUAUCUGAAAUAACAGGACCGGGAGGAAAAGUAUUUUGGUAGGGGAUACUUUCUCUAUAGCUCCAAAUAAUUUACCAAGAAAAACCACCCAAUUUCAACCAAGACCACAAGGGGGAGCUACGACCUAAAAAGCUUAGCUAGUAAACUAGACAGAUAAAGGAUCUCAUUUGGGUCAUGACUUCUUUAGGAAGAUAAAUCUGAAUAAAUAUUUUACCAUAAGUGACUCUUUCUGAGAAACAAAUCUGACCAUACCCCUUUUCUGCUAAAAACUUGAAAGGACCGACCCCCAUCCCUAACAGUCUAACACACCAAGAUGUACAACUUCCUUUAUGCCUGACCAUUACUCUGCAUUUGAAUGACACAACAAAGCUUCCCCGGCUCCCCCCAAAUAAAGUUUUAUUUAUGCCUCCA